UGGGGUGUAGCCAAGUGGUAAGGCAAUGGACUUUGACUCCAUCAUUCGCAGGUUCGAAUCCUUCCAUCCCAA
rnacentral:tRNA from 1 species